rnacentral:misc_RNA from 1 species
CGACUAUUUAACUAUUUUUUGAAGCAAAUAUUCAAAUAUAAAUAUUGCCAAAUGUCAAAUCACAUUUUGUAAUUUACCCUAAUCAAUAUUUUAUAGCUCCAAAGAUGAAGCAACCAACCUGCCAGCAGUUGAAUAACAAAGAUAACAAUAUAAUAAAGAAUUGUUUCUUUAAUAACUAAAAUAAAAUAUUAUUCUCUGCCUACCCUAAAAUUUUGUUAAUCGACUCCAAUUUCACCGUAAAUAUCCAAUAGCUACAGAGAACCUUGCCCAUCUAACAUGCAGAUAGCAGCCACGUCUUUCACUAAGCCACCAGAGUGCUUGCUGUAGUUGACUUGCUGCAUAAAUUGAUACGAGAGAGGAAAUCAUCACAAAUUAUAAUGAUGGAAAAACAUGAAAAUCACUAACCACUAACAAGUCAUAUGCACAAACAUGCACAAAUGUAUCUGCAACCAAAAGUGACGGGAAAAAUGCAAAGAAGACAAAAUGAAGAAGAGAAGCUAAGAAAUAUAGAAACUACAGAAAUGAUAAAAUCAAUCACAAUGAAGUUGAAGACAUCAAGCAUGCCAGUUUAAGUCCAAUAUUGUAAGUCCCCUACUGAAUUCAAUUCAACUAAGUCUAAACGCAAACUAGUUAGGAUCAACCAUGCAGAUCCAUUUUCUACGUUUCCCUCAGUUUAUGGCUUCAUAUAAAGAAACGCUGGAGUGGCAAAAACCUUAUAUCACUGCUUUCCCAUUUCAUCCUCAGUUGCUUAUCUCCAACAAUAGCAUAGUCUUUAACCUUAACCUUCCAUAUUAGAGAGUUUAUUGAUCUGCAAUGCACAUGUACAAACCAUGUCAAUCUCCCUUGUCUCAACUUUUACUCAAUAUUCCUCAAUAGGCAUCGCUUAUAACUUUCUGCAAUAUCAUUCAUUCCAAAGACUCCUGAAAUAAAUAAGCCCCUAAAACUAAAUCAUACAUGUAAGAUAUUGCCCAUGAAAUGUUACCAACAACAACGAGCAAACUGUUUGCAGCUUCUUGUUGGCACAAUAUGAAAUCAAUUUACAAGCAGGUUUGAGCCAAUACUGUCAGGAAAUAAGAUAAAUCGUUGACUAAUCUAUCUAUCACAAUGUGCUAUCAUUUACUUAGCAAAUUUCCAUAUACUAAUAUGACAAGCUACAAAUCAACGGCAUAUCAUCUUCAAACAGAUAGUCAUAAUCAGAACAGAAUUUAUUAGGAAUGUUUAGGGAAAUGAGAAAAGAGUUCAUGAAACGUACUAUUUCCAAACAGAGGGGAGCUUCUUAGUCUUCUUGUAGUAGCGAGCAAGCCUAUGAAUCCUGCUUUCCACGAGAAUCAACCUGAACUUGGAAUCCUUAUCCUUCCUGUUCCUCUCCAAAUGCUUCCUAAUAGCAACAGCUUUCUUGAUGAGAUGAUACAAAUCCUCAGGAAUUUCAGGGGCAAGACCAUGAGCCUUGAGGAUGCGCAAAAUCUUGCUUCCGGUAACACUCUUAACCUGAGCAAUACCAUGAGAAUCUCGGAGAAUGACACCAAUCUGAGAAGGAGUAAGCCCCUUCUUUGCAAAUUUGCAAAUGUUCUCCUGAACAUCCUGGGGAGAGAUUUUGAGCCAACUUGGUGGAGUUCUCUUGUAAGGCAGAGCUGAAGCAGAAAUACCCUUACCGCGACUGUGCAUGCGACCCAUGGUGACGGUGAUGAAGGGUGAGCAGUCUCUGGCUUAACCUCCUCUGCAGCGAAUCGCAAACCCUAGAUUUCCUAUGGAACUUUCUGAGGGUUUAAUAUGCGUGUCAAAUACCAAAAUGGGCCUACUAAAAACACGGAUUGCAAUAUUAGGGCUAAUCUUGGGCUUCGCUAGUGUCCUAUUUUUGUGCUGUUUCUUUUAGUAUAAGCAUAAAUACCCAAGCGUAAGCCCAGCUUUCUAGUCAGGUCUAAA